GCCAGGUAGCGCAGAGGUCGUCGCGCGCUGCCUGCAAAGCAGUGAGGACGCCGGUUCGAUUCCGGCAGGCUCUA
rnacentral:tRNA from 1 species